rnacentral:misc_RNA from 1 species
UACGAAGGGUGCAAGCGUUGUUCGGAUUUACUGGGCGUAAAGCGCGCGCAGGCGGAUUAGUAAGUCAGGUGUGAAAUCUCGGGGCCCAACCCCGAAACUGCGCCUGAAACUGCCAAUCUAGAAUCUCGGAGAGGGAUGGGGAAUUUCCUGUGUAGGGGUAAAAUCCGUAGAGAUAGGAAGGAACACCAGAGGCGAAGGCGCCAUCCUGGACGAGUAUUGACGCUGAGGCGCGAAAGCGUGGGUAGCAAACAGG